AAUAUGUUUGCUUCUCCUAUUUACUAUAUGUUUUUAAUUGUAAAUAUGAAAAAUUUUAAAAAUUUCUGACAGAUGAUCACGCGGAAUAACAUAAGCAUACAUAUAAAUAAAAUUAUUUAAAAUUUUAUUUACAGGAAGUAAAGCAAGAAACUCACCGAACGAUUCAGAAACAGAAACAAGAAGAUAAAAGAGAUCCAUAUAAGAUGUAUUCCUCGACUACUAAACAAAGUUUACCUGCGCUCGCCAUGCCGUCUUUGUCAUCUCUUUGUUGCUCCACAAGUCUUUUCAACUACAUCAAACCCACCGGCAGAAUACAUACCGGCUCCGUCCGCGCCGGUAGGAAAUGUUCCGGUAUCAUCCACUCUGGGACGAUACGUACCGGCCUCGUAUUUACCAGUAAGAUACGUACCGGCUUCACACACGCCAGCAAGAUAUGUUAUACCGGCUUCACACACGCCAGCAGGAUACGUUAUACCAGCUUCCCACACGCCGACAGGAUACAUACCGGUAUCGUCUUGGCCGGCCGGAUACAUACAGUUUUUCAAAUAAAUUUACGAUUAUAAGUAUAGUAUUAUCUGUUAUAUCAGAAGGUUAUCGUCGCUUUCUUCAUUAUUAAUGCCAACUAUUAUAACAUAUAUAACAUAUAUUCGUGAAUCAUGUCGAUCACUGAUUGUACGAAUAGAUUUGUACCGAGCACAAAUAAGCGAUUACAUUCAAGAUCUCCACGUUACAAUUGUAUUUAUCUUCCUUGAAACAUUUAUGCUAAAAGCAAGCUGAAGUUAAAAUAUAUCUGACAAUAAGUCGUGGGAGAUAUCCCGUUUUAAUCUCUGGAUUUGAGAGAGAGAUAUACGAAUUACAAAUCCUGAAUUCGUGCGAGCAGGAAUUUUAACAGAUUCUCUUUGUUUAAAUGGAAGUGAUUGACCACGCCAGGGAAGUCAUUGGAGACGACGUGAAAUACUACCGGGACAGACAUUGCAUUGAUUUGAACGGAUCCAAGCGUGUUAACCACAUUUUCUGUUAUACCGGCUGAUCGCCUGUAUCUAGCAUAAAUGCUACUGGUCCUCUGAAAGAGGCGGAUUGAAGCUCGAUGACGGGUAUGUCGCCGGUGUCGGACCGGAGAGCGUAUAAUGAAUAAUCCUCGAUGACACAUUCUAGUGGAAGGACGGGACAAACAUUCUCUGGCCUCGUACGGUCCCGCUGGCCGAGGUCUCGAAGCGAUUUACCGUUUGUGGAGAUGCAGAUUUUGCGAGCGCCGUCGAACGCGUUAGGCGUCGCAGGCUGAAUGGUUGCAGGAACGAUAGACGAGCCGGCAGGGGCGUCAUGCGGUAAGAUCCCCACGGGGCCCCGAGCACCACCUUUGAAUCUUUAAUCGCUUACAUAUAAACUACCGACGUACUAUCACGAAUUAAAACAAAUAAUUAACUAAUAUACGUAGUUCCCCCAAAUUGCGUGCCGAACAAUCGUUGGUCUUGAAACGCGCGCAACUCUAAUAAUAUGAAAAAACUAAAUCUGGAAAUAAUUAUUCUUAUUGCGAAAAAUAUUACCUCGGUCGGAAGUCGAAUCCAGAUACCUUGCUAUAGACUUUGUAUUCGAACUAAGAUGAUAAUGUCCAAAUUAGUUUAGUAUUUCUUACCUCACACUUUAAUAUAAUGUAUAGUUUGUA